rnacentral:misc_RNA from 1 species
GAAAUGCGAUAAGUAAUGUGAAUUGCAGAAUUCCGUGAAUCAUCGAAUCUUUGAACGCACAUUGCGCCCUCUGGCAUUCCGGGGGGCAUGCCUGUCCGAGCGUCAUUACGCACCCUCAAGCCCGGCUUGUGUGAUGGGCCCUGGCGUCUCGUUCGCGAGACGGGCCCGAAAGGCAGCGGCGGCGUCGACCCGAUGAGCGCGAGCGUAUGGGGACUUUUGUCACACGUUUGCGGUGCGGACCGGCGCCUGCUUGACUUUUCUGAUUAUCCAGGUUGACCUCGUAUCAGGUAGGGACACCCGCUGAACUUAAGC